rnacentral:tRNA from 1 species
GCCAACGUGGUGUCGUGGUUUGAGUGUUGGACUAUGACUCUGGAGGCCAGGGUUCGAAUCCUGGCUUGGCC